CCUACGGGAGGCAGCAGUGGGGAAUAUUGGACAAUGGGCGAAAGCCUGAUCCAGCAAUGCCGCGUGAGUGAUGAAGGCCUUAGGGUUGUAAAGCUCUUUUACCCGGGAUGAUAAUGACAGUACCGGGAGAAUAAGCUCCGGCUAACUCCGUGCCAGCAGCCGCGGUAAUACGGAGGGAGCUAGCGUUGUUCGGAAUUACUGGGCGUAAAGCGCACGUAGGCGGCUUUGUAAGUUAGAGGUGAAAGCCUGGAGCUCAACUCCAGAAUUGCCUUUAAGACUGCAUCGCUUGAAUCCAGGAGAGGUGAGUGGAAUUCCGAGUGUAGAGGUGAAAUUCGUAGAUAUUCGGAAGAACACCAGUGGCGAAGGCGGCUCACUGGACUGGUAUUGACGCUGAGGUGCGAAAGCGUGGGGAGCAAACAGGAUUAGACUACCCUGGUAGUCCACGCCGUAAACGAUGAUAACUAGCUGUACGAGGCGUCUAGUAGUCGUUGGUGGUCGCGAGACGUACGACUAUUAAGUUACGUCCGUCCGUCGGGUAGGUACGGUCGACGAAGAAUUAAACGUAACGAAAGAAGUUAGACGGCGUAGAGACGUCGACCGACGGACGACGACGAGGGAGGAGG
rnacentral:rRNA from 1 species